UGACUGACUAAAAGUACCAUCAAAUAAAGUCAAUUAACAGUAUAGUUGUAGUGGUAUGGAAUAGGUAACUCUUCAAAGAAUACCUUGAUUGGCAGGGAUAGUUGCACCAACGGCCCAUUAAUAUAAUAGGAAUUAAGUAAUAAUGCCAUUAAAUGUAAAGACCAUUUAUUAUUACAACAGUUACUCACUCUGCUUCCAUACUCUCUUCAGCGAAGGGUUCAAGAACAUAUUAUUUGGGAUUGGCUUAUCUGUAUUUAUCUUUUGGUUCCAAUAAGUACAACAAUCUUCACUUUCUUGGACUGGUGUUGGUUCGUAAGAGUAGUAUGGGCCUUUAUUUAGAUGCAAGGUAUAUAGUUUUGAGUGUUCAUGCCUAGGGAUAGCAACGAUACAUCGAUGCUUUGAAAACAUCGAUACAUCGAGAGAAAAUACAUCGAUGUUUGCAUAGAUGAUGUAUCGAUAUAUCGUUCAAAUAUAUCGAUACAGUUCAAAUAUAUGCAGGUUUUAAAAAAUUUAUUAAAGAAUUAGCUCCCUUAUAUAAAACGCCUUGCAGAAAUACGAUAAAAUCAAGGAUAAUCCGAAAGUAUGAGGCAAUUUCCACUGUUUAUAAGGAAAACUUGGCGAAAAUUGAUAAUUUAGUUUUAAUUACGGAUAUUUGGACCAAGACGAUGCAGAUGAAAAGUUUUCUGGGCAUAACUGUUCAUUUUUUGAAAGUCAUAAAUAUGACGUCUAGUUCAUUGGAUGUCAUUGAGCUAUCGGAAUCCCAUACCGCUGAUUAUAUUAGUGACAUAUUAAAUAAGGUUUUACAAGACUGGAUUAUAAAAAAUUACUCGAUCACAGCUAUAGUCACUGACAAUGAUGCCAAAAUGUUGAAGGCAAUUGGAAAUUUUUGGCAUGAACAGGCACUUAAGUUGUUUUACUCACACAUUGAAUUUGAGUGUAGAAAAUGCAUUGCAACGCUCGGGACUUGAUGGUUUAUUAUUAAAGGGGCGAAAUAUUGUAAAAUUUGUUAAAGCAAGUAUAAACGCAUCGGAUAGCCUUAGAAAAGAGCAGUAAAGACAAGAUGUUGUAGAAGGCAAAAUUAGAAAAGUUCUUUUAAAUGUUUCGACCAGAUGGAACUCUAAAUUUUACAUGUGUGAAAGAUUUCUAGAGCUAUUACCACUCCUUUGUAAUAUUUUAUUGGAAAGACCCAAUUCUCCACCUAUGUUGUCAGCAAAUGAGGUAGAACUCCUAAAAGAAGCAGUUCAACUUCUUCAGAUAAUGGAAAGGUUGACAGUAAUUAACUGCACUAUAAAAAACUUAUCGUCUAUGAAUCUAACUCUUCUUUUAACCAUUUCGUUAAAGGGGAAUUAGAAAAAGAAAUCGAGAAGCGUUUUGGAAAUCGAGAAUACUCAAAUUUACUAUCCCUUGGAGCAUUUUUAGGUCCAAGGUUUAAAAACGUCCAUUUUAAUAACCAAUACAAAAAGUAAGUAAAAUGGUUCACGAGUUCGAAAAUCAGACUGCAUCAAUGGCUGCAAAUAAUGAAAUCCAAAUAACAUCCACCUUUGAAAACUCAGAGGAGUGUAAUAAAGUUGAUAUUUGGAGUUUUCAUAAGACUUACGCAAAAAGAACAAGUUAAUAGGAUAAGAGACUUAAAGGGUGGUAGCAUCAGUAGUUCAGAUUUAAGUCCAGAAGUUCGUUUAUAUAUUUCUGCACCACUUGCAGGAUAUCCAAACUUAUAUAAAGUAGCUAGAAAAUAUCUAGGAGUUGUAUGUACUUCUGUACCCUCUGAACGGUUAUUUUCUUUAGC